UACGGAGGGUGCAAGCGUUAAUCGGAAUUACUGGGCGUAAAGCGCACGCAGGUGGCUGAGUCAGUCGAUUGUGAAAGCCCUGGGCUUAACCUGGGAAUUGCAGUCGAUACUACUCAGCUAGAGUAUGGGAGAGGGUAGUGGAAUUCCCGGUGUAGCGGUGAAAUGCGUAGAUAUCUGGAGGAACACCGGUGGCGAAGGCGGCAUCCUGGACCGGCAUUGACGCUGAGGCGCGAAAGCCAGGGGAGCAAAGCGGG
rnacentral:rRNA from 1 species